AAAUGUAAAAUAGAUUUACUAUGUUUGAUUACGGUUCAAAAUGAAUAACAUUUUU
rnacentral:tRNA from 1 species